CGGGACGGGUGAGUAAUGUCUGGGAAGCUGCCCGAUGGGAGGGGGUAACUACUGGAAACGGUAGCUAAUACCGCAUAACGUCGCAAGACCAAAGGAGGGGACCUUAGGGCCUCUUGCCAUCGGAUGUGCCCAGAUGGGAUUAGCUAGUAGGUGGGUAACGGCUCACCUAGGCGACGAUCCCUAGCUGGUCUGAGAGGAUGACCAGCCACACUGGAACUGAGACACGGUCCAG
rnacentral:rRNA from 1 species